GUUUCUUUUCUUGUUUCCUUUUUUUUUAAAAAGCAACAGUAAGGCAUGCCACUUUUUUUUGAGUGCAGUUUAUUCUCUCUUGUGAAUGGAUGCAGGGCCCACAGCAGCAAAGACCUUGGACUUCAAGAUUUCACAGUGCACAAAAAAGAGAGAAGCAUAGAUUAAAAUGAAUGGCUGAGUAAAGGUGAGGAGACUGAAUCAGAUCGGAAGUUUCAAAUUUUCAGAAGAGAAAAAGUCAGUGGGAAUUCCAGAUUCUAAAGAGAAUCUAGUUUCCAAAAGUUUUUUGUCCCUAGAAAAAUGUUUUUUCUUCCUUCUCACUUAAGAACUGAAUAUCCUUUUCGUUUUUUUCCCUUACAUGCAGGUCCUUUUCAGUGGGGACCUGCUAGUGGGAAAAGUUUUAGAGUUUGGGAUGUGAUUUUUAUUCGCUUUUAUGCACAUCACAUAUACUGAGGCUUUAGGCUUUGAGGAUGGCUUUAUGCAACUAGUCUCAAAGCCCUUCACAUUUUAUAUUAGGUGAUUUUGCCUCUUAAUUUUUUCCCCCAUUUUCUCGAUCAUCCCUAUCAAAAAUAUUUUGUCUUUUUUCCCCACUUCUUCUGCAGUCCUCCCGGGGAUUCUUCCAUUUAUAUUUAUUCCCUAUGCUUUUAUCCCCUUCACCAUUGCUUCCCACUGUGGUAUGUUGUGUUAAUUGGUACAGGUGUGUACCAUGCACACUGUACAUGAUAUGGUGGGCGUACCAAGUGUCAGUAUGCCGAAUCAACCCCCCUACCAGGCAUACAGACACUAUACCAAGAUAUAACCAGUAUAGGGUCUAGUACCGCAAUGGUACACCUUGCUUCCUACAAUAUUCUUUUGUAUCUUUUUUCCUCUACUUAUUCUUCUUUAACCUCCUCUCUUCAUAUAUCUACCUACAUCCGCUUGUUCAUUGCUUCAUCAAGUCCAUUAUAGUACUAAGUGAUAUGGCUAUCCACCACAAGGAACUAACGUGUUGUCUUAACAAAUGCAUUUGCAAGAUGUACCCAACCAAAUUAGCAUAUGUAAAUUCACUUGUAGGUAAGACAUGUAUAAAUAUUAAUUGAAGAAAAAAGUUGUGACAAUUAGAAUUUUGGAAAGUAACCUCAAUUUCACACAUUUGGCCUUCUCUUAUGCCAAUAGCCACGCAACACUUAUCCAAAAACCCCAAUUGAGUAAGUUAGUCCAAACCCUUGUGCUUCAGCACAAAACAUCCUUCUUUUCACCAGAAAAUGAUGU
rnacentral:lncRNA from 1 species